rnacentral:rRNA from 1 species
UGCAGUCGAACGCGAAAGUCCCCUUCGGGGGACAAGUAGAGUGGCGCACGGGUGAGUAACACGUAGGUAAUCUACCUUCGGGUGGGGAAUAACAACCGGAAACGGUUGCUAAUACCGCAUAAUGCAGCGGCACCUAAUGGUGACAGUUGUUAAAGCGGGGGAUCGCAAGAUCUCGCGCCUGAAGAGGAGCCUGCGGCGGAUUAGCUAGUUGGUAGGGUAACGGCCUACCAAGGCGACGAUCCGUAGCCGGCCUGAGAGGGCGGUCGGCCACACUGACACUGACAUACGGGUCAGACUCCUACGGGAGGCAGCAGUCGGGAAUUUUGGGCAAUGGGCGAAAGCCUGACCCAGCAACGCCGCGUGAAGGAUGAAAUCCCUCGGGAUGUAAACUUCGCAAGAACGGGAAGAAUAAGUUUGUGCUAAUACCACAAGCGAUGACGGUACUGUUUGUAAGCUCCGGCUAACUCCGUGCCAGCAGCCGCGGUAAUACGGGGGGAGCAAGCGUUGUUCGGAUUUACUGGGCGUAAAGGGCGCGUAGGCGGCCUCCGCAAGUCAGUUGUGAAAUCUCCGAGCUUAACUCGGAAAGGUCAACUGAUACUGCGGGGCUAGAGUGCGGAAGGGGCAACUGGAAUUCUUGGUGUAGCGGUGAAAUGCGUAGAUAUCAAGAGGAACACCUGCGGCGAAGGCGGGUUGCUGGGCCGACACUGACGCUGAGGCGCGAAAGCUAGGGGAGCGAACGGGAUUAGAUACCCCGGUAGUCCUAGCCUUAAACGAUGAAUGCUUGGUGUCUGGGGUUAUAUAGUCCCCGGGUGCCGUCGCUAACG